AUAUAAUAACUGAUCGAAUCUCUUUUUGAGAUAAAUCAUUCAAGUUUCUGCCCUAUCAGCUUUCGAUGGUAGUGUAUUGGACUACCAUGGCAGUAACGGGUAACGAAGAAUUAGGGUUCGAUUUCGGAGAGGGAGCAUGAGAAACGGCUACCACAUCUAAGGAAGGCAGCAGGCGCGUAAAUUACCCAAUCCUGACUCAGGGAGGUAGUGACAAGAAAUAGCAAACCGGGAACCUCAUGGUUUCACGGUAUUGCAAUGAGAACAAUUUAAAACCCUUAGCGAGAAUCAAGUGGAGGACAAGUCUGGUGCCAGCACCCGCGGUAAUUCCAGCUCCACUAGCGUAUAUUAAAGUUGUUGCAGUUAAAAGCUCGUAGUUGAACCUCUGUCUGGGGCUAGUUUUGGCUUUGGUCAGGCUAGUUCUAGGCAUCCGCCUACAAGACUUAGAGGGCAUUCAGUUGUUCACUAGGAGGAGUAGGCAUUUUUACUUUGAAAAAAUUAGAGUGUUUAAGGCAGGCAAUCGCCCGCAUAUAUUAGCAUGGAAUAAUAGAAUAGGACACUUUUCCAUUUCGUUGGUUAUUGGAAUCGUGUAAUGAUUAAUAGGGACAGUUGUGGGCAUUUGUAUUUAAUUGUCAGAGGUGAAAUUCUUGGAUUUAUUAAAGACAAACUAACGCGAAAGCAUUUGCCAAGGAUGUUUUCAUUAAUCAAGAACGAAAGUUAGGGGAUCAAAGACGAUCAGAUACCCUCCUAGUCUUAACUAUAAACUAUUCCGACUCAAUGUUUGACUGGCUUAUAUAACCAGUUGAGCGUUGUAUGAGAAAUCAAAGUCUUUAGGUUCUGGGGGGAGUAUGGUUGCAAAGCUGAAACUUAAAGGAAUUGACGGAAGAGCACAACCAGGAGUGGAUUCUGCGGCUUAAUUUGACUCAACACGGGGAAACUUACCAGGUUAAAACAAUAGUGGGAUUGACAGUUUGAGAGCGCUUUCUUGAUUGGUUGGGUGGUGGUGCAUGGCCGUUCUUAGUUGGUGGAGUGAUUUGUCUGCUUAAUUGCGUUAACGAAUGAGACCUUAACCUGCUUACUAGACUGGCGAUCAUCAAUCGUUAGCUCUUCUUAGAGGGACUUUGGUUGUUUUAACUCCAAGGAAGUUUAAGGCAAUAACAGGUCUGUGAUGCCCUUAGAUAUCCUGGGCCGCACGCGUCAUACAAUGACUAGUUCAGAAAGCUUUCUCCUGACCCGAAA
rnacentral:rRNA from 1 species